CUUAAGGCCAUUUGUCUACCAGCUGAAGCUCAACAGAAGAUGGGUGUUGCAACAGGACAAUGACCCAAAGCAUAGAAGUAAAUCAACAGAAUGGCUUAAACAGAAGAAAAUACGCCUUCUGAAGUGGCCCAGUCAGAGUCCUGACCUCAACCCGAUUGAGAUGCUGUGGCAUUACCUCAAGAAAGCGAUUCACACCAGACAUCCCAAGAAUAUUGCUGAACUGAAACAGUUCUGUAAAGAGGAAUGGUCAAGAAUUACUCCUGACCGUUGUGCACGUCUGAUCUGCAACUACAG